GCUCCUACCAAUUGAGUGAUCCGGUGAAUUAUUCGGACUGACGCAGUGCUCAGCUUCUGGACGUUGCGUUGGAAAGUUUCAUGAACCUUAUCACUUAGAGGAAGGAGAAGUCGUAACAAGGUUUCCGUAGGUGAACCUGCAGAAGGAUCAAAAAAACAACAGAAAAACGAACAACAACAGCAUACAAACAGAUGAUACACAUAACAAAAAAAAAAAAAACAACACAGACAUGAACAUGACGACAUGCAUAAGAUGAACAACGUACUCAGUGAAGGA
rnacentral:misc_RNA from 1 species